GACGAACGCUGGCGGCGUGCCUAAUACAUGCAAGUAGAACGCACAGUUUAUACCGUAGCUUGCUACACCAUAGACUGUGAGUUGCGAACGGGUGAGUAACGCGUAGGUAACCUGCCUGGUAGCGGGGGAUAACUAUUGGAAACGAUAGCUAAUACCGCAUAAUAUUAAUUAUUGCAUGAUAAUUAAUUGAAAGGUGCAAUUGCACCACUACCAGAUGGACCUGCGUUGUAUUAGCUAGUAGGUGAGGUAACGGCUCACCUAGGCGACGAUACAUAGCCGACCUGAGAGGGUGAUCGGCUACACUGGGACUGAGACACGGCCCAGACUCCUACGGGAGGCAGCAGUAGGGAAUCUUCGGCAAUGGACGAAAGUCUGACCGAGCAACGCCGCGUGAGUGAAGAAGGGUUUCGGAUCGUAAAGCUCUGUUGUAAGAGAAGAACGGGUGUGAGAGUGGAAAGUUCACACUGUGACGGUAUCUUACCAGAAAGGGACGGCUAACUACGUG
rnacentral:rRNA from 1 species